rnacentral:rRNA from 1 species
AGGACGAACGCUGGCGGCGUGCUUAACACAUGCAAGUCACGGGGGGUCGCAAGACCAACCGGCGAACGGGUGCGUAACACGUGAGCGACCUGCCGAUUCGAGGGGGAUAGCCGGCCCGACGGCCGGGUAAUACCACAUACGCUCUUUGGCCCGCAUGGGUUGGAGAGGAAACCUCCGGGGGCGAAUCGAGGGGCUCGCGGCCUAUCAGCUAGUUGGCGGGUAACGCCACAAGGCAAUGACGGUAGCUGGUCUGAGAGGAUGGCCAGCCACAUUGGGACUGAGAGACGGCCCAGACUCCUACGGGAGGCAGCAGUGGGGAAUCGUGCGCAAUGGCCGAAAGGCUGACGCAGCGACGCCGCGUGGAGGAUCGACGCCGUUACGGGUCGUAAACGUCCGUAGGUUCGCCCGGGUAACGAACGACGU